rnacentral:tRNA from 1 species
UGGCUGAGUGGUAAAGCGCUUGGCUUUCGAACCAGGGGACCUGGGUUCAAUUCCUUG